AGUGAACGCUGGCGGUAGGCCCAACACAUGCAAGUCGAACGGCAGCACAGGAGAGCUUGCUCUCUGGGUGGCGAGUGGCGGACGGGUGAGGAAUACAUCGGAAUCUACCUUUUCGUGUGGGAUAACGUAGGGAAACUUACGCUAAUACCGCAUACGACCUACGGGUGAAAGUGGGGGACCGCAAGGCCUCACGCGAUUAGAUGAGCCGAUGUCCGAUUAGCUAGUUGGCGGGGUAAUGGCCCACCAAGGCGACGAUCGGUAGCUGGUCUGAGAGGAUGAUCAGCCACACUGGAACUGAGACACGGUCCAGACUCCUACGGGAGGCAGCAGUGGGGAAUAUUGGACAAUGGGCGCAAGCCUGAUCCAGCCAUACCGCGUGGGUGAAGAAGGCCUUCGGGUUGUAAAGCCCUUUUGUUGGGAAAGAAAUCCUAUCGGUUAAUAACCGGUGGGGAUGACGGUACCCAAAGAAUAAGCACCGGCUAACUUCGUGCCAGCAGCCGCCGUAACAC
rnacentral:rRNA from 1 species